GCUUCCGUAGCUCAAUUACCAGAGCGUGGAUCUUCUAAGUCCAUCGAUGCAGGUGAGAGUCCCGCCGGAAGCA
rnacentral:tRNA from 1 species